UGAGCCAAGUUUAGGGUUUUCUCAAAACCCAAGCAGUAUUGAACUGAAGAGUUUGAUCAUGGCUCAGAUUGAACGCUGGCGGCAGGCCUAACACAUGCAAGUCGAGCGGAUGAAGGGAGCUUGCUCCUGGAUUCAGCGGCGGACGGGUGAGUAAUGCCUAGGAAUCUGCCUGGUAGUGGGGGAUAACGUCCGGAAACGGGCG
rnacentral:rRNA from 1 species